GCUCUGUCCCCGUCACCCAGUCACCUGGUCUGUGCGUGUCUGGAGUUCCAGGUAGAGACUUGUUCCACUUUCCUGUCUAGGCGGAUCCAGAUGACCAGAUGUUUGCUGACCCCCCAGGGCCCCUCAUGUGAGAUGGCCCAUGUGAGAUGCCCCACCCUGGGCCUGACAGCCACCCUGGAGCUGGUGUAGGUGUGAGAGAGACCCCCAGGGAAGGUAGGAGUCCUCUAUGUUCGUCCCAAACCUGCUGCCAGAGUCAAACAGCUAGAGGGAACUUAAAAUGACGCCUCCCAUAGUUGCUUAACAUACACGAUGGACAUGUUCCCAGGAAGGUCACUUCCUGAACACCAGGGCAUGGAACCCUUGGAAGUUUCUGCAUCCAGACUUUACAGUGGGCAUGACAUCACCCUGUGCACUGAGGGAAAGACCAAGAGCUGAGAUCAGUCCAGCUUCAGACUGUCCACCUCCUCCACAGGUGACACUCUAGACUCUACCUUCUAGGUCUCCACCCCAUCCUUGGAGGGCCUGGGCCUCAGUGCUCUCAGGAUUCCAUGACAAUGCGCCUUUGACUCUCACACUAACAGUACCAAAGCUAGUUAUCAUUCAGGAUGAUUUCAGCCACAAGAAAAAAAAAUCCCCCAAAUAAUUGUGACUUAAAUUACUAGGACAUAAUUACCUCAAUAGCAAUAACUCAGCAGCAGAUGUCUUCAUUCAGCAGCUUAGUGAGAGUGAGACUUGAGACCUGUUUCUCUGUCAUUUCUUUUACUUCUCAUGGUCACAAACUGGCUGCUGAAAUUCCAAGUAUAGCAAUGCUUUCAUUCACC
rnacentral:lncRNA from 1 species